AUUGAACGCUAGCGGCAUGCCUUACACAUGCAAGUCGAACGGCAGCGGGGGAGCUUGCUCCCGCCGGCGAGUGGCGAACGGGUGAGUAAUACAUCGGAACGUACCCAGUAGCGGGGGAUAGCCCGGCGAAAGCCGGAUUAAUACCGCAUACGCCCUACGGGGGAAAGGGGGGGAUCGCAAGACCUCUCACUAUUGGAGCGGCCGAUGGCUGAUUAGCUAGUUGGUGGGGUAAAGGCCUACCAAGGCGACGAACAGUAGCUGGUCUGAGAGGACGACCAGCCACACUGGGACUGAGACACGGCCCAGACUCCUACGGGAGGCAGCAGUGGGGAAUUUUGGACAAUGGGCGAAAGCCUGAUCCAGCAAUGCCGCGUGUGCGAAGAAGGCCUUCGGGUUGUAAAGCACUUUUGUCAGGGAAGAAAUCGUUUGGGUUAAUACCCCGAGCAGUUGACGGUACCUGAAGAAUAAGCACCGGCUAACAACGUGCCAGCCGCCGCCGUAA
rnacentral:rRNA from 1 species